AAGUCGUAACAAGGUUUCCGUAGGUGAACCUGCGGAAGGAUCAUUAUCAACGUAUCCACGUAUAAACCAAACUAUGUGAACCUAUUUUUUUUGUAUCAUGUAUUUAAUUAUAUAUGAUACAAAAAAACUAGCCUUUAGUAAUUAAAUGGUGCUAUUUAAAUCGUUUUUAUUUGUGAUUAUGAUUUAAAUGGACUGUAUCUCACGAUACGGCAUUAAUUAUUGAAGUGUAUUUAAUUAAUCACAAUAUUAACCAAUUGAACCGUAACUAUUUUAACAGUAGUUAUUCAUUAUCUUUGUUUGAACUGAAUUGUUCUUUACUCUUGAGUAACAUUGAGAGAAAGGAUUCAUUCUACGAAACAUAAAUAUGAA
rnacentral:misc_RNA from 1 species